UGGCAUCAGUAAUCAAAUAUACAUAUUUCAUUUUUAACAUGAAUCUUAGUGGUCUUCAUUACUUAUAUAUGUACACAAGUAUAAGACUCUUGACUGUCAGCGGAGUGACCGUGGGUGAAGGUACAGCUACUGAGAUGCCAAGUACCUACCAAGAAGGCGAGCGUAUGUGUGUGACUCAAUCUAGGUCCCAACUUGCCUUCGAAUCUGAAAACAUGAAGUUUAAAAACGUAAGUAUAAAACUCAAUGAGUGAACAUAUGAAGGGAACAAGCAAUCAAUAGGAAGAAUUUGGAAAUCAUGAUGCACUUGUUUCAAAAAAAUUACAAUUUAUUUAGUUUCUUACUAAAAACCCCUCAUUUCAAACUUUGAUUAAUAACUUCAUAGUGUUGCAAAAACCCAAGAUCAAUCCAUGAAGUUAAAUGGGUGAAACAAAUGUCAAAAUCAAGCAUGGUAGCAAGUUUCUCGCUGCAGCAAAGUUCAUUCUCGCUGCAGCGAAGUUCAUUCUCGUUGCAGUGAGAUUUAGGCUACCAAAACAGAAAGUUUCUCGCUGCAGUGAGAAAUAGUGUUAGUUUGCAUAUGUUUCAGUUUUUCUAUCAUAUCCCCUGUUACAGAAGUUCAAUUGACUUGAUUUUUAAACCAUUAGAAAGCGAAGAAACAAGGAUACAACUUUUAUGUUUACCACUUUUCCCAGUUCAAACGAGAAUAUUGUCAAAAUCUUCAUCAAAGUGAAAAUACUGCAUCAAAACCUGAGAGUUUCUCGCUACAACGAGAUUUAUUCUCAUUGCAGCGAGUUAUUGGCUGCCAAAAUAGAAUAUUUCUUGCUGCAGCGAGAAGUAGGGCACCUAAGUGUAAAAAAGACCUCCUUUGCACUAAAAAUCCAUUUGCUGUUGCAAUAAAUAUCAUUUUGCAAGAAAAUGGGAAAUUCUCAAGAUUCAUCAUGCCAAAUUUCACAUGCAUUACAACCAUAUACCAUAUUCAUGAACUUCUAUUUCACAAACAUAUAUAUACUUAUAUACAUAAAUAAACACCAAUACCACUAUCAUCUCACCCAACUCAUGUGCAUCCCCCCACAUCGUGCACAUAGCCAGAGUCAUCAUGUGCAUCCCCCUACAUCGUGCACAGUCAGUGCCAUCAUGUACAUCCCCCCACAUCGUGCACACAGGCACUAUCAUCAUCCAUCUCCUUCACCACAGUCAUCACCGGCAUGUUCAUCCCCCCACAUCGUGCACACGCACGGUUAUAAUUAUCACACAAUAUCAACUAUCAAUGCACAACAUAUAUAUAUAUGUAUAUAUAUAUCAACACAAUGUAGUAGUGCAUGAAUCCAUAACAGCCACAUGUCACAAUAUAAAGAUAAUUUAUCAAGGGAUUGUUCCCAAGGCACACAUUUUUAAGAAAAGUUGGAUAAAAUCAAUCAAUGUUUUGUGCAAAUAGUUUCACAUUCCCAAAACAGUUUUAAAAUGCAAGUUCACUCACCGAUAUUUGUUGAAUCCUUAAUUGACUCUAACUUUUAUUAUUGCUUCAAAUGGACAUGUGAGGCCUCAUUGGAACCUAUUUUCACACACAACAUCACAACCAACCCAAAUUUGCAUUAAUAUAAUUCCAAAAGCUAUUUCCUAAAUCAAGUUCCACUAGUUAUUCCUAACUAGCUUCCAAUUUCCAUUAAAUGGCUAUCUAUUCUUUCUACUCUAGUAACUCUAGAAAUAAAUAAACAAACCUCACUAAAUAAACAACUCACAACUCCAAUUACUAGCCAUUAUCAACAACCUAAAAUCAAUCCUCAUUCAUUACUAAUCUUGGUAUAUUUGUAGUUGAAUUCCUUCUUAAGAAUACUCAAGCUAUCAUGGAAAAUCUCUCUCUCUCUCUCUCUCUCUCUCUCUCUCUUUAAAUUUUCAACUAGUGAGAGAAAGUGCUAAAUAAAGACUUUUUAAGGGUUUUAAGGUGAGAGAGUGAAAAAGAACAAAAGGUUCUAUGAAGAAGUGCUCAAAAGCAUGAAAAUUGAAGGUAGAGAGAGAAAGUUAUGGAAGCUUUAUGGGAGGCUCCUAUGGAGAUGAAGAAACGUGAGAUGGGAAGGAAGAAGAAAUGGCUAGAAGCUGUUGGAAAUUGCUAGAGCUUUAGAUAUUUAUAUCUAAAGUUUAUCCAUUUCUCACUUAAAUUACCAAAAUGCCUUUAACAUGGUGACUUUGUCUUCCUCUCAUCCUUUGUGCAACCUUUUACUCUUUUGACACUAGGGCAAGGUCUAUAAUAGUCUAGAAAUACUCAAGUUCAUGAAAACAUAAAAAUUUAGACCCCAAGAUGCAAAAUGACCAUUUUACCCCUAUCAUGAAAAUUAUCAUUAUUUUUAUCUUCUUCAUUUAUUUACCAUCAUAAACAUCAUUUAUUCAUUCCUUAGGCUUAUUUGGAUCUUAAUAGCAUAAAAAAAAAGCCACUCAUAGGAGCUCAUCAAGAGAAAUCAUGAAAUUACCCUUGGUCUGCAUUAUUGCGUCUACUUCUAGUUACAUGUCUAUAGAGGUCGAGAUUUCACAAGUUCACUUCUGAAUUACCCUUUUAACUAUGUACUUAACCUCAAUUGGCAUCCGUAAACUUUGUUAGCCACCAUAUCAAAAUACGGGGUACUAUAGUCUCCCCCACUCAAAAUGAAUUCGUCCUCGAAUUCAAAUCGGCGUAGGGUGAAUAAUCAAAGUUCUAAAGUUCUACAACAUCACUUUCGUCGAGGAUUCUUAACAUAGAUCCUUGGUUUAUGCAUCAUAUUGAUUUUCAAUCUUAUAGAAAACACGACAAUGUCAUAGUAUAUAGUUAUGUGUACUACUCUUGUUGGAUCGAAAUAAUAUCGUUCUUUAUCUUAUGAAGAGAAUUCAAAUAUGCUAUUAAUUCUGGUCACACCUCAAUCAAAUCAUCUUUAAAUCAUCAGUCAUGCAUGUUUACCUAACCAUCCACAAUUCCUCUACCUUGAUCUUUUAUCAAACCUUCCAACACUCUAGCAUUUAUUCCACCAUUAACUAUGGGUUUAAAUGGUCAACCAACCUCUAUUCCGUUUUACAUACCUCCAUACAAAUUCCAUUCAAGCAUUUCAUAAUACAUAAGGAUCAAACACUCUUUAUUUAUUCAUAUAUAUUUAACAUCACGGAUGAUUCAAAUCCGGUAACCAUUAGUAACCAUAUUCCCAAAAACAAACUUCAAUACUUUCAUGAUCGAGUGCUCCCUAGAUAAAUCUCAACUUAUACCACAAGGCAUUUCAAUAAAUUAUGACAUUCCACAUACCCCCUUAUAAUCUUAACCAAUCUCUUUAAUCAAUAAGUCAACCUCUCAAGAUUAAAGUUGCUCAAAAUUUUCCCUUUAAAGUUCCUUUCCAAGUCUCAUUCUGAUUACUAAUCAUUUCUACAUUUCCGAUGUCAUAGCUAAUUUGCUCGUCAUCAAUCACCCACAACAUAUCUAACUUGAUAUUUCUAAAAUUUACUCCAAACAUCAGAUCUCAUGGCCUCAUUAGUUCAUCAAUCUGAAGAUCAAAUUAAACAUUUAUCUCUCCUUAAGUGCACUUUAAAAUUUAAGAAUUAUCUAGUAAGACCUUUCUGAUAUUAACUUAUUUUGUCCUUUUUACCUUAGAAAAUUAAAUCCAUAAUCAUUCAUUUUGAAUCAUGAGCUUUAUACCAAUCAACGCAGAUUUUAACACUUUUAAUUAUACGAAUUCAAAUGCACACCUUUACACAUAAGUUAUAGACUUUUUUCCCACAUCUUUAUAUAUCAAAAGUAUAUAUAUUGAAGCUAUACCAAAACUGAUACAUCAUUUUCCAUUGCCCCUUAGGAUAUUAAAUUCAUGUCAUACUUCUCUAUUUGUGUACUUCAUAAUAACCUAACAAUUUCUAGCUCACAGUUAAGCUAGUUUAUAUGCCAAGCCUCUCAGGCUAUAUUAAAACACCAAAUUUUGUCACGAUAUAAUAGAAUUUGAUGAACUCAUACCAAAAGUAUAAACACUUACUUUUAAGGUAACAGCAUUAUAGUCCACUUGUUCACUGCCAAAAUUAGUGAUAAAUUAUCUUAAUCAUUGUCUAGCUCAUAACCAUUGAUAGAAUGUCAUCAUCAAAUCAAAUUAUAACUAACUCUGCAUGAGCUUUUAUACCAAUAUGCAACAUAUAUAUCCAUACAUAUAUAUUUCCAAAAAUUUUAACUUCAAAUAGCCUUAGGCAUAUCAAGCUCAAUAAGCCGUCUGUAAAACCAAAAUAACCAACAAUCAAGUUUAAAAUCAUUUUUUCUCUUUGUUGGUUAGAUCAUGCUCAUCAUUUGUGGUGAAUACACAAAGUUGAUUUCAAUAUUCCAUUCUCAUACAAGAGUCAACCACUAAUUGGCACAAUCUCCAAACACCACGUGUUUUAUAAGUCGAUUUUCUUAGUCAAAAUUCAUAUUGUAGUAUUCCAACUUUAGGUCAUGUCUCAUUACCGAAUCUUUACUCGUAUACGAGUACUCGAAUUCUCAAAUCAUCAUCUAUUUUCUAAGUAGAUCUCUGCCAUUCCCGUAGCUUAUUUGUAAAACCCGACCCUAUAAAUACAUGUCAUGACAUACAUGCAUUGAGUAGCAUGUUAUUACGCUAGAAAAGCACCUAAGAAUAGACGAAACCUGAUAUUGUACUUAACGGUACACUUAAAUUGAUUUAACCUCGAAGUAGUUCAAAUAGGAAUUGUAGGAUGAAAUUUAAUAUUUUAUAGUCCAGGAAUGACUAAAAAUGAUUGUUCGGAGUUCGAGGGUUCAUUUGGGGUAAAAUUAGAAAUUUUGAUAUUCAAGGGCAAAAUCGUCAUUUUGCCACCUAAGAUAAUAAUUUGAUCAUGGAGUGAAAUUUUUGACCAAGAUUAACUAUUUGGAGUAUAAUUUAAUGAUAGGAAGUGAAAAAGUUUAAUUCUGGUGAUUUUUGGAGUGUAGGGGCAAAAUCGUAAUUUUGCCACCCACGGACAAAAUUUGAGAUUUUGAGAGAAUUUAGAUCAAAUUUGACAAAUUGGAGAAUGGUAUGAGUAUAAGGGAUGAAAAAUAUGUCUAUGGGCAAUUUUUCAAUUUUUGGGGCAAAAAUGUAAUUUUUGACUUUUACGGGGGCAAAAGUGUAAAUUUCAAAAAUUACUCCACCGAGACUUUGGAUGAGUCUGAGAAUUUUAUCUAAGCUAUGAAUAUAUGAGACAAGUGUAUGGUGAAAAUUUGGAAACAAAUGGAUGAAAUUUUAAAAAUGGGCCAAUGGGAAAGUGACAUGUGGCAUUUUUUAAUGAAAUAAUAUUAUUUUAAUGAAAAGUCAGCCCAUUUAAACCCAAAUUUUGAGUGCUGGCCGGCCAUAAGGAAGAACAAGAGAGGAAAUAGAGAGGAAAGGAAGAAAAAAAGAAAAACCAAAGAGAAACAAGAAAAUUCAAAGGGAAAUUCGCGGUUUUCGACCGUUUACGCGUCUAACGGUAAGAUUUUUCGAUUUUAGCUUGAUUUCUACCUUUCCUAUGCCUUUAUUUCCAUUUAGCAUGCUUGAGGAGAGAGAUCAAAAAGUGAUAUCAAGGGCUGGACGAAAUUCUAGGGGAGAGAAAUUGAAAUUUUUAGGUUUUGAUUUUUAGUUAAAUUGAUAGUUUUAGUUAGUUAAAUGUGUUUAGAAAUUAAAUUGGGCAAGAAAUCAUUAAAUUUUCACAAUACCCACUCUUGGCUGGAUGCUCAAUGCUGUACAAUGAUGAUGAAUUGAUUUUAUUCUAAGGAAAAUGAAGAGAAAAUGAUGAAAAACGAUUAAACGUGAUAGAAAAACAAAGUAGAAAAUUAACCGAGUUAAUGUCCCAUUUUUGGCCGAAUUUUCCAAGGAAGGGAGUGAGCUGAUUUUGUUGUUUUUAGAAGGUUAUUGGCUGAUAUUUAAUGGUUAGAAAUGUUGGAGAGAGAAUGGGAUGAUUUAGAGCUAAAAUGGAGCGCGUUAGCAAUUUAUCGGGCAAAGUGCCAAAAAUAGGUUAAUACCGCGUUUAAGCCGUUUUAGGCUAUUGCAUUUCAUACCAUGCAUUAGUAUAGGAUUUAAGUUAAUUAUAUAGUGAUUUAGCAUCAAUGUGAUGAAUUGUGUAAAUUUUUGUAAUGUGUCUAGGAGGAGAGCCUUCCGGAAAAGGCAAAGAAGUCGUACCCGACGAGUAGUGAUCGGGGCGCUUAGAAAGCUUUUAGUUUGUACAAACGGUGAGUAAACUUAUUAUUAUUGUAAAUUAUCUAGAGUUUAUUUUUAAAUGCCCUUUAUGUAUUUUAUGAAAUGAAAACGAGAUUAAAACGGGAUUUUUGAUGUUUUAGGAAUAAAUGUGACAAAUAAAAAUAUAUUGUAUUGAUUAUGAAAUUGAGUAAUUGGAGGCUGCAAAUUGACUUGAAAAAUAUAUAUUUUCCUAGGAAUGGCUUAUGAGAAAUGAGUAUAUGUGGCUAUAUUUUGUGAGUGCAUUGGGAAAUUUAUGUAAGUUGUUUUUACUAUGCAGGCUGGAUAAAUAAAUAAAAGCCACGUUAUACUGUCGAAAUUUUAUUAAAAUUGGUGGGUUAGUCACUGCAGUGACGGGUUUCCGUGGACUGCCUAUUAGAGGGGCACGGUAAACCCAGUUAUAUAGUUACUCCGGUUGUAGAGGCGAGGAGGGUAACUCCUGGGGUAGUAUUAGAGCUCACUUCACGUCGAACCCCCACGUGAAUGUGUAACUCGGCCAACGCCAAGGAACGGCUGGUUUUAAAAAUAAAAAUGUGUUUCACGUGUGAAUAUUUUAACACCCUUGGCGGACUCGGUUAGAUGCCUCGGCCAAGGUAUCCCCGAGGAUUAGUUUUGGCUUGAGCCUUGUUUUAAUAAAAGACAUAAGCCUUAACAACUGUUUUGGUAAAUUACAAAUAUUUUAUGGUUUAAGAAAUAAAUUGAAAACAUUAUGAAAUGGGUUGAAAUUUGUUGUUUAAACUUGCCUCCAUUUUACUCGCCUUUAGAUAUUUAUGAUAAUGUCUGUUUACUCAUUGGGAUUGCAAAAUCUCACCCAACUCCUUUCCACCCAUUUCAGGUUCAGUAUAGACUGUAGAUAGCUGAUCUCAUCGAGGACUACCAUUGGAUCUGCAUUUUCCAAAUCGUAGGUUCACAGUCCUCUUUACUUUUGUUUAUUCGGGGGCUCUCUUGUUAUUGUAAAUUAAAUUAAAUAUUUUGGCUUACUGCAUUUUAGUAUGUAUAAAUUUAUUUAGCUUUUACGCUAUAAAAAUUAUUCAUGUAUAACUCUAUAAAUAUUGUUUUAUAAGAAAAUAGAAUAUUUUCCUUAAUAUUUUUUUUAUUUUCUUAUUAUAUUCAAAUAACCGUAAUUUUGUUUUAAAUGAAGAUUUUAGACUUUUAAACUCAUUUUUAAUAUGAAUUUUGUGUUUUGUACUUGUAUAUUACAUUUUAGCCAAUUUCGAAAUUUUUGAGAAAAAAAUGACCAAAAUACUCCUAUGUGGCGAAAAUUUUAUUUUGAUUGUUUUUUAUCUAAAAUAGUGUAUAUUAUCUAAAAACUUGAUAUUUAACAACGAUUGCUCACAGGAAAGGAAAGAAACUGAUAUGUAAGCCUUGCGGGGUUCCGGUUGGCAUUCCAGAUAAUGAGUGUCAAUCAGGGACGUUGCGGCGAUUGUCAUGGGCCUGAGGGAGGUUCCGGGUCGUGACAUUAUUUCUAUUCCCUUACCAGUAGUAGUAUCAUUUAAUCAACCCGUGUCACCCUCGUUCUCUAAACAUUUGAAACACAAUUCAACCUUUGCUUACCCUUACCAAGCACAUUACCUUGAUAAUUACUCAAAAUAAAUUGGAACUUGUGAGGGAAGCACAUUUAACAAUUUAUGCCUUACGUCUAUAAUUAUAUCAAGACCAGAACCUCAUCAAGUCCACAAAACAGUAGGAUAAUCAUUGCCUCAAACCAGCAUUUCCAAGUAUACUUAUGCUUGUAUCAUAUCUUCAUACUUAUGUGACAUAUCAGUCACGAGCCCAACUUGACUAUAUAGCCAUUUGCUCUUUGAGCUUUAAUGUUGUCUCACUGUGAAAAAUCUUUCGAAUUUAUCUCAUCAGUGUAUUCACAAGGUGGAUACAUGUCCAUAACUUACAGCUCAAGGCCUAAAGCAUUGAACACAAUCUCAUCAUUGAUGUUUUACGCUAUAUCAUAAAAUACAAAAUGUAAUCUAAUAACUAUGACAGUGAAAUUCUAAAGUUCUAGCUUUAUCUACCAAUCAUAGCUCCCUUUUUUAGCACAUACUUUACACUGCUUGAUUGUUCACAAGCCACUGAUAGCCAUCCAAAUUUGACCUCUUAUAGCAAGUCAAACUAGUAUAUUAUUCUUAUGUUUUCCAAUACACUUCCAAAAUGCUUAAACACUUCCUUUAAUAGGGUUCCAUUGAGAACUUAAUCAAUCAAAGACUUAUCUUCAAAGCCACUCAUAACUUUAAUCGUUCAUUGUAUGCUUGAUAACACUUUAGCUCACUGACCCACUGAACAUUAUUUUAAAAUCUCCCAAGGUGUCUGUACUCUUAGUUCGGAUCAUACCAUUUAACUUAGUAUAAUUGCAUUAAUUAUCCUUAAGCUCUUUAUGCUCAGCAUAUCAACAUCCAUAUUUCCCCCUCAUUCAUGUUAUUGACCUUGUUAAGGUAUAUAUGUGGCUUUUCAACCUUUCACAAUACAUUCCACAUUUAUGCCAGGGCAUUCUCAAUCUCAUGCCAAGCCUAUAGUCAUGUAAUCACCAAUUAGGCCAAAUCCUUCUAUGGAAUAUCUCUUUCCACACGAUGAAUGCGAAUCACAAGAUAUACAACUUUGAGUGUAUGCUUACAUAUUGGUAACCUCCAUAUAUUUCAUGGUCAUAAAACCACAAUUUGCAAAACUAGCUUCCUAUCACAAGUUUGCGAUUGGAACAAUAGUCUCCACAUAUCUCACUUUGGACAUACUUCACUAUUAACAUUCAUAUACCUUUACCACAACAUUCAGUGCAAAUUGAUUAAGCAAUGAUCUCCAAAUUUACUCUUAGAUACACAUAUAUCAAAUUGUACACCACUUAGUGUUGAGAUCUUGACUUUACUCAUCAACUUUUAACCAAUUACAUCCAUAAGAUAAAUAAUUCACUAAAUUUUUAUAUUUUGCUUUUGCAGUCAUAAGAUCAAAAUUUCUUAAGCUUAUGAUGCAGAAGCUUCCUCUUAGAGUAUAUCCGAAAAUCCACAUGUUUUAAGUCCCUUACCCUUGGAGAAGUCACCUUCAAGACUAAUCAUUUACAUCAUAGGUUGCAUAUUGAACCAAACAUAUUUUUAAAUUGACCUUUAAAGCAAUUCGUAUAUCGAUCUUCAUAUAGAACUCCAUAUGGCACUUCUACUAAAUUUGUCAUUUCCAUGUCAUUUAAUUUCAAACUACUAAAUCCACAUCUAGUCCUUUAAUCCUUUGACCUCACGCAUAGCAUAACAAAGUUUAUGCUCUUCCUUAGAGAAGAUUUGUUUACAUACCUCUCACUUGAUGACCACACAUCAAUUAUAAUAGUCAGUGAAUUUCACCCUUAAGCUAAUUCAUGUACUUAUAACUAUAAACCAUAAUAUUUCAAAUCAAACCUUGGGAUCUUGCAAUUACUUAAUUGAAAUCAAAACCAACUCCUUUUAUAUAUGGCAUAACAAGCUCGAUUAACCUAGUGCACUUACUUCUGUGCACAUAAGUAUUGGCUUACUCUUACUGUCACGACCUGAUUUUCAAGCCGUGACCGACGCAUGGACUCAAUGGACAUAGUCCAUUUAGCCCAAGCAAGCCUAUCUAUAUUAUCCUACUCAUUAUUCCAUCAAAGUUACUAAAGUCACAUUUCGUAAUUUUGAACCAAAAUAAUGCUAACCAUUUUCGACUCUCAGUGACAUGCCAAUCCAAAUAUACAUACAUUGUCUAAAAUAUAUGUCUUAACAAUUUACAUCAGGUUCGACCAUACAUAUCAAAAAGAAGACUAGAUUUUCAGUAGAGAGACUCAGAUGAAUGUACAACUAUUGAAUGCCAAGACACCUACCAACAGUCGAAUAUACAAAGACACCUCGACCUAGUUACCAGCUGCCUCUUGAUCUGAAAACAUGAAGUUGAAAACGAUGAGUAUAAACCCAGUGAGUGAACAUAUGAAGGGAACAAGCAAUAUAAUAAGAAAAAGUUUGAAAUCAUAAUGCACUUAUUUGAAAACGAUGCACUUUAACUUAAGUCCUUAUUAAACGUCACGACCCAGAACCAUCCUUGAGUCCGUGACAAUCGCCGCGAUGUCUCGAUAGGCACUCAUCCCUCGAAUACCAUAUCGAGACGUCGCAAGGCUUUCGUAUCAAUUUCUUAUCUCCCCUAUGGUUAAUCGUUGCCAAAUGUCGUCUUUUAGAGGCUUUAAAGCUUUUUUCCGAUUUAAAACUGUGAAAAAAUAAAUUUCACUUCACCGGGGCAUUUUGGUCAUUUUUCAUCAAAAAUUUCAAAUUCGACCAAAAUGUAGUACUUAAGCGAGAAAUGCAUAUUUCGAAAUCGAAAUUAAAUUUGAAUGUCUAAAACGUGAUUUAAAAUGGAAUUAUAACCAUUUAAAUAAAAUAAAAAUAUUCGACAAAAUAUUCUAUUUUCUUACAAAUUAAUAUUUAUAGAGUAUUCUGAAAAUGAUUUUUAGUAGCGUAAAAGUUAAAUAUAUUUAUACAAACUAUAAUACGGAAAACCAAAGUAUGAAAUUUAAUUUACAGUGCUACGUGGGCCCACAAAUGAACAAAAGUAGUAAAGACAGUAAACCUACAGUUUUUGAAGUAGUAUGGCCAACUAUAGUUCUCGACGAUGUCUGCUAUCUACAGGCUAACCCGACCUGAAAUGAUGGGAUAAAAAAAAGGGUGAGAUUAUAAAAUCUCAAUGAGUAAACAAACACCAUUUAAAUAAUCUAAAGGCGAGUAAAGAGAGACAAUUAAAAAUAAUUCAUUUCAGCAAAUUUUUCACAACACGAAUAUUCAUUUCAACCAAAUAAUCAAUAUGACUCGUGAAUUUCUCAAAACUUGGCUCAUGCCAAAUCCUGUACUCGGGGACACCUGGACCAGGGGUAUCCAACCAAGUCCGCCAAGGUUGUAAAAAAUUUUAUAUAAUCAUAAAACUUGUUUUUAUUUUGAAAAAAACAGUCAUUCCUUGGCGUUGACUAGGUCUCACUUCACGUGGUGGUUAACGUGAAGUGCACUCAAAAAGCCCACCUUAGGAGAUACCCUACGCACCUCUACGACCGAGGUGAGAAUAUAUUGGGGUUCACCGUGCCCCUCUAAUAGGUUAGUCCACGAAACCCCGCCACUACAGUAGCUAAUCUUUAAUCCACCAAUUGAUCAAAUUUCAAUGGCAUAACAUGGCAAUUACAUUACUAACCAAUUUAUCAAGGCAAAACAGACAGUUCAUAUUUUUCAACACAAGUAUAAAUUCAGCCAAUCAUGCCAAUUUAUCACAAGCCAUUUAAUUCAAAUCAUAAUUUACAAUAAAUCACAUGGUCUCCAAUUACUCAAAUUUUCAAAUCCAACAUUCUAUUUUCAAAUCAAUUUAUAAAAAAUUCAAUUUAUUUUAUAAUUCCAUUUAUUUUAUAAAUUCAUAUUUUUCUCAUAAAACAAGAAAUUCAUCAUUUAAAAUAAUUUUCACAAAUCACAAAAUUGAAUAAAAACUACUCUAGAUAAUUCAGACGAUAAUAGGUUUACUCACAGGUUUCAAAAGUUCAGAUUUCGGGUGUACUUAGCUUAGUGAUCCCCAGGCGUAAUUUCCUUGCCUUUGUCGAAGGGCACACCACCUUGACACAGUAUAAAAUCAAGGAAUUUACUACGUUGCCCUUAAAUUGAAAUAACUAAUUUAGAUCACUAAUGCAUGGUAUGAAAUGCAAAAGGUCUAAAUUUUGCCUAAACACCGUAUUGACCUAUUUCGGUCUUUUACCCGAUAAAUUGAAAUACGCAUCUAAUUUAGCUCCAAUUGAUCCCAUUUCUUUUUCUAAUGCUUCAAAUCACCAAUGUCCAGCCAAAUAACCCAAAAAUCAGCAAAGCCACAUUCAUAUUCCUUCUUGGAAAAAUUCAGCCAAAAUGGUGCAUCAUUGUCACAAUUUUUCCUACUUGAUUUUCUUUCCAUAAUUCAUUAAUUUCCAUAUCAAAAACCAUGAUUUCAUAAUCAAAUAACCUAAAAUAACAUCACAUUCUUCCUCACCAUUGACUUGAAAAUUCAGCUAAGGCUAGGUAAUGGGAAAAAUGAAUGUUUUUCUACAUAUUUUGUUUACUAACAUGCUAAACUAACACUAAACACUAACAUAUAUCAAAAUCAAAUCAAUCCAACAAUUUUCUCUCUCUAGACCCAUAUGACCAGCCAUGAAAUCACCAUGAAAACAUGCAAUUUAAUCAUGGAAAAUAAGGAGAAAUGCUUGGGAAUAAGAAAACUCAAGCUUAAUUGAAAAAAUCUUACCUUUUUCACGUAAUUUCCUUGAAAAUUCAUACUUUUUCUUUGAUUUUCUCUCUCUAAGGUUUGGUUUUUGUUUUCUCUCUCUUCUUGCUGGUUUGGCCGACCAUGGGGUGGAAUAUCGGCUGAUUUUUGUGCCUUUUAAAAAGGAAAAAUAAUAAAUUAAUAAAGGCAUAACACGUGGCAUCAUGUCAUUGGCCCUUUUUUUUUAAUUUUGACUUUUCAUUUUAAUUUUCCACCACACCUUUAUUCCAUCUUUAUCCAUUCCCACCAUAAUUAAAUUCCACAAAUUUGACAAGUGUUGGUGUUGCAAAAUUACUAUUUUGCCCCCUAUAUGGUAAAAUUACCGUUUUACCUCAUACUCUAGAAAUACCGAGAAUUGAAAAUUUCUCACUCAUCAAACACCAAUUAUGUUCUAAAUAAUCUAAAUAAUUAAUCUUGAUCAAUUGUUACCAAAAUUUGUUUUUUAAAUUCUCGUUUUGUCCUUAAAUGACAAAAUGACUGUUUUAUCCCUAAUCGGUCAAUCCUCUCGAUUGACUCCAAACUGGACCUCGAACUCCGAAUCACUGUUUUAAGAAAUUCCUAGACUAUGAAAUUGAAAUUUCAUCUUAAAAUUUCUAUUUUAAUUAGUUCGAUGAAUAAAUCAACUUAGUUGUACUUUUAAGUAGAAUACCGACUUUUACCUGUUUUAUCAAGAUACUCUAGUACACAGGCAUGAUGCCAUAUGUAUGACCUGAUAGAUAAUUUAGGGUUGGGCUUGACAACACUACCCCCCUUAAAAUAAAAAUUUUGACCUCAAAAUUUCAUUUAUCAAUCUCAAAGAACUAAUAGGGGUAUUGUCUUUUCAUCAUAUCUUAAGUUUAAAUCUUGAACCACCAAGAACCAUUUUUCACUUGAGCUGAUCAUACUAUCAAUCCCUACACAUGUGUAUAUUCCUCAUAAUCCCAUCAGUGCUUCAAAGAUUUAUCUUGACUUGAUCAUUACAUCAUAUGCAAUACCACAAUUCCUAAGACUCAUCCUUUUUUUUUCCUCGAUUAUCUUUCAUGUAAUGUAGAGGCAUGAUUCAUGCACAUCCUUAGCAUUUUCGAACUCCGUUUUCCACAAUAUGUAUAUUAAGAAAGUUUCAUUACAAUAUUCCCUAUAAACUCAUUUACUAUAUUAUUCUUGAAACCUUUAUUUACAUUAUCAUCACUUAAUAUUUACAUACCUUAUUACUAUCUUAUACCUAUGUCUAACUUUUCACUCAUUCUCUCUAGGUUGGACUCGUGCUUCAUCUUCCGCUACAGCAAAAACCCUUGUUGAAGUAUGAGUCUGUGGUCUAGGAGGUGGAUAUGCUGGGGUGUUACUCUCCACGUCAGACCGUAUAGUCACUCCUUGUCUCGGUUGUACUUCAGUGGAAUCUUUCCUCUGUAUAUUCGUACAGGCUUAUGGAGAUGGAACAGCUACAGUGGCUCGUCCUAACUGUGGGCAAUCACUCCUAUAGUGACCUAGCUGAUCACAAUGAAAGCAUCUUACAAGCUUCCUACAUAGUCCGAAAUGAUAUUUCUCACAAUGUCUGCAUUUGUCAGAACCUCCGGAACUCUUUUCAGAAGUAGUCAUCUCAGAUCUACUAAAUCUCGGAGGCCUUUGUUGUGUCUGUGAAACUAAAGGUCGGGAAGAUGAUAUUGGGGCAAAAGUAGUACUUCCUGAAGCCAUUGAGUCCUUGCCCCUUUUUGGCUGCUGACUAGAAGAUCCACUCGGAUUCCUUCUCUUUGUAAUUUCAGCUCGCAUUCUCCUAUUUUCAUUUGCGAGCUUCUCGGCCCUUAGAGCCAUCUGUACCACUUCCUUAUGUGGCUCCCUGCCUAUCACUGUCAUUCGUUCUCUUAUCUCAUUACGGAGCCCUUCCUCAAAAUAACUAGCCUGAUCUUGUUCCGAUUUCACCAAAUCAGGCACAUAUAACAUCAGCUCGUUAAAACGAGCUUCAUACUCCUCUACUGUUAGAUUCCCCUGCUUCAAAUCUAAAAAUUCUCUUCUCUUUUCUUUCUGAUGGAAGUGGGUAUAAUACUGACCAUCAAAUUCCCUCAAAAAGUCUAACCAGGUCAGUGGAGUAGUAGUUCGAGAUUUUAUGAGUUCCACCAAGUACAAGCCCUCUUCUCCAAUAAUCACUUAGCCACCAUUAACUUCAUGUCAUCCUCUAAUCUCAUGUCAAAGAGAGUUUUCGAAACUUGGUUAAUCCAGUCUUUGGCUACGGUAGGAUCCAACUCGCCCGUAAAAGAAACGCAACCUAGAUGCCUAGCUUCCUUCAAUUUCUUAGAAAUAGAAAUAUCCGGCAUCGAUGGUACUGUAGGAGUAGCUAGAGGCACUAUAGGUGGAACUUGACCAGCCUGAGCCUGACCAGCCAUAGCGAUAAAGAAAGCUGCCAAUACCUGUGUUACCUCAAGAGGCAUAGCAGGAAUGCUGGUAGGUGGCGGAGAAAGUGGAGGAUGUGGGGGACUCUCUGCCUGCUCAGCAGCAAGUGCUGCUCAAAACGUAGAUGCAGCGGAUUCCUCCACUAUAAGACUUGGCUGAUUUUGCCUAAGACAUCCUCUUCCCCUCGCAGCCGAUCUAGUGUGGGGUGGGAGUUCUCGUCGAGGAGGCAUGGUAGUCUAGAAAAGGAAACGAGGCAAGUUUAGUCGACCUUAGACUCUAUAUGCAGACACUCAUAUGUGACUCACUUUAACCUAACUUAACUCGGGGCUACACUAACAUUGCAACUUUUAAAACAGCUUCGAAACUAAAGACUCUGAUCUUUAAAACCAAAAGCUCUGAUACCACAAGAAUUGUCACAACCCGAAACCAUCCUUGAGUCCGUGACAACCGCCGCGAUGUCCCGAUAGGCACUCAUCCCCCGAAUACCAUAUCGAGACCUCACAAGGCUUUUGUAUAAGUUUCUUAUCUCCCAUGUGGUUAAUCGUUGCCAAAUGUCGUAUUUUAGAGGCUUUUAAUCUUUUUUUUUAUUUAAAACUGUGAAAAAAUAAAUUUCACUUCACAAAGGCAUUUUGGNGGCACUCAUCCCCCGAAUACCAUAUCGAGACCUCGUAAGGCUUUCGUAUCGGUUUCUUAUCUCCCAUGUGGUUAAUCGUUGCCAAAUGUCGUAUUUUAGAGGCUUUUAAUCUUUUUUUUUAUUUAAAACUGUGAAAAAAUAAAUUUCACUUCACAGGGGCAUUUUGGUUAUUUUUCGUCAAAAAUUUCAAAUUCGACCAAAAUGUAGUACUUAAGCGAGAAAUGCAUAUUUUGAAAUCGAAAUUAAAUUUGAAUGUCUAAAAUGUGAUUUAAAAUGGAAAUAUAACCAUUUAAAUAAAAUAAAAAUAUUCGACAAAAUAUUCUAUUUUCUUACAAAUUAAUAUUUACAGAGUAUUUUGAAAAUGAUUUUUAGUAGCGUAAAAGUUAAAUACAUUUAUACAAACUAUAAUACGGAAAAACAAAGUAUGAAAUUUAAUUUACAGUGCUACGUGGGCCCAUAAAUGAACAAAAGUAGUAAAAACAGUAAACCUACAGUUUUUGAAGUAGUAUGGCCAACUAUAGUUCUCGACGAUGUCUGCUAUCUACAGGCUAACCCGACCUGAAAUGAUGGGAUAAAAAAAAGGAUGAGAUUAUAAAAUCUCAAUGAGUAAACAAACACCAUCCAAAUAAUCUAAAGGCGAGUCAAGGGACACAAUUAAAAAUAAUUCAUUUUAGUAAAUUUUUCACAACACGAAUAUUCAUUUCAACCAAAUAAUCAAUAUAGCUCAUGAAUUUCUCAAAACUUGGCUCAUGCCAAAUCCUAUACUCGGGGACACCUGGACCAAGGGUAUCCAACCAAGUCCUCCAAGACUGUGAAAAAUUUUAUAUAAUCAUAAAACUUGUUUUCAUUUUGAAAAAUUUAAUCGUUCCUUGGCGUUGACUAAAUCUCACUUCACAUGGUGGUUAACGUGAAGUGCACUCAAAAAGCCCACCUCAGGAGAUACCCUACGCGCCUCUACGACUGAGGUGAGAAUAUAAAGGAGUCUACCGUGCCCCUCUAAUAGGUUGAUCCACGAAACCCCGCCACUGUAGUAGCUAAUCUUUAAUGCACCAAUUGAUCAAAUCUCAAUGGCAUAGCAUGGCAAUUACAUUACUAACCAAUUUAUCAAGGUAAAACAGACAGUUCAUAUUUUUCAACACAAGUAUAAAUUCAGCCAAUCGUGCCAAUUUAUCACAAGCCAUUUAAUUCAAAUCAUAAUUUACAAUAAAUCACAUUGUCUCCAAUUACUCAAAUUUUCAAAUCCAACAUUUUUUUUUCAAAUCAAUUUAUAAAAAUUUCAAUUUAUUUUAUAAUUCCAUUUAUUUUAUAAAUUCAUAUUUUUCUCAUAAAACAAAAAAUUCAUCAUUUAAAAUAAUUUUCACAAAUCAUAAAAUUGAAUAAAAACUACUCUAGAUAAUUCAGACGAUAAUAGGUUUACUCACAAGUUUCAAAAGUUUAGAUUUCGAGUGUACUCAGCUUAGUGAUCCCCAAGCGUAAUUUCCUUGCGUUUGUUGAAGGGCACACCACCUUGACACAGUAUAAAAUCAAGGAAUUUAGUAUGUUGCCCUUAAAUUGAAAUAACUAAUUUAGAUCACUAAUGCAUGGUAUGAAAUGCAAAAGGUCUAAAAUUUGCCUAAACACCGUAUUGACCUAUUUCGGUCUUUUACCUGAUAAAUUGAAAUACACAUCCAAUUCAACUCCAAUUGAUCCCAUUUCUUUUUCUAAUGCUUCAAAUCACCUAUGUCUAGCCAAAUAACCCAAAAAUCAGCAAAGCCACAUUCAUAUUCCUUCUUGGAAAAAAAUUCGGCCAAAAUGGUGCAUCACUAUCAUAAUUUUUCCUACUUGAUUUUUUUUCCAUAAUUCAUUAAUUUCCAUAUUAAAAACUAUGAUUUCAUAAUCAAAUAACCUAAAAUAACAUCACAUUCUUCCUCACCAUUGACUUGAAAAUUCAGCUAAGGCUAGGUAAUGGGAAAAUGAAUGUUUUUCUACAUAUUUUGUUUACUAACAUGCUAAACUAACACUAAACACUAACAUAUAUCAAAAUCAAAUCAAUCCAACAAUUUUCUCUCUCUAGACCCAUAUGACCAGCCAUGAAAUCACCAUGCAAACAUGCAAUUUAAUCAUGGAAAAUAAGGAGAAAUGCUUGGGAAUAAGAAACUCAAGCUUAAUAGAAAAAAUCUUACCUUUUUCACUUAAUUUCCUUGAAAAUUUACACUUUUUCUUUGAUUUUCUCUCUCUAGGGUUUGCUUUUUAUUUUCUCUCUCUUCUUGCUGGUUUGGCCGACCAUGGGGUGGAAGAUGGGCUGGUUUUUGUGCCUUUUAAAAAGGAAAAAUAAUAAAUUAAUAAAGGCAUGACACAUGGCAUCAUGUCAUUGGCUCGUUUUUUUAAAAUUUUGACUUUUCAUUUUAAUUUUCCACCACACCUUUAUUCCAUCUUUAUCCAUUCCCACCAUAAUUAAAUUCCACAAAUUUGACAAGUGUUGGUGGUGCAAAAUUACCAUUUUGCCCCCGACAUGGUAAAAUUACCGUUUUACCCCUAUACUCCAAAAAUACUGAGAAUUGAAAAUUUCUCCCUCAUCAAACUCCAAUUAUGUUCUAAAUAAUCUAAAUAAUUAAUCUUGAUCAAUUGUUAUCAAAAUUUGUUUUUCUAAAUUCCCGUUUUUCCCUUAAAUGACAAAAUGACCAUUUUGUCCCUAAUUGGUAAAUUCUCCCGAUUGACUCCAAACUGGACCUCGAACUCCGAAUCACUGUUUUGAGAAAUCCCUAGACUAUGAAAUUGAAAUUUCAUCUUAAAUUUUCUAUUUUAAUUAGUUCGAGGUAUAAAUCAACUUAGUUGUACUUUUAAGUACAAUACUGACUUUUACCUAUUUUAUCGAGAUAUUCUAGUACACAGGCAUGAUGCCAACUAUAUGUAUGACCUGACAAAUAAUUUAGGGCUAGGCUUGACAUUAAAACCCUCAAUUUAACCCUUGGUUGAUAAAUCAUGUGACGAUAGAGAAUUCAUAUUCAAAAUGAAAUUGGAGAAGUGGAAAAUAUGACAAAAACUCGCCAACUGAUAAGCGAAACAGAAAGUUUUAUUUUCGCUACAGCGAGAAACAGAGCAAUAAGAAAGAUUUCCUUUCAUCCCAAAUAAACCAUUUCACUGCAAUGCAAAUCAAUUUGGAACACUAAAAAAAAAUGCUCAAGGUUCAACAAGCAGGAUUCCACAUACAUUAUAGUCACACAUGUUAUUCAUAAAUUCUUUAUUGCAUUAAUACAUGUGAACAUAUGCAAACAUAUAUGUAUAUAUAUACAUCCACCGCCUCCCCAGCUCAUGUGCAUCCCCCCACAUCGUGCACAUAGCUGGAGUCAUCGUGUGCAUCCUCCCACAUCAUGCACAUCUAAUGCCAUCGUGUACAUGCCCCCAUAUCGUGCGCACGGGCAAUAUCAUCAUUCGCCUACUUCACCACCGUCAUUACCGGUAUGUGCAUCCCUUCACAUUGUGCACACACACGGUUAUAUCCAUUACACAAUAUUAUCUACCAAUGUACUAUACAUAUAUCUAUAUAUAUAUAUAUAUAUAUAUAUAUAUCAACAUUAUACCGAAACACAUGGAUUCAUCACACUUUGUAUUUCACAACAUAAAGACAUUUCAUAAGGGCUUGUUCCAAGGCACUUUUUUUUUUUUUGAAAGAGAAUUGGAUAAAUCAUUCAAAGUAUUUGUCCAAAUGCAUUCACAUAUCCCAAAACAGUUUUGAAAUGCAAGUUCACUGACCUAUCUUUGUUGAUUCUUAAAGUAGCUCUAACUUCCACUAAUGCCCUGAAUGGUGAUGUGGGGUUUCGGUGGAGCCAAUCACAUAUUAGCAUCACAAUCAACUCAAUCACAUAACCAUAAUUCUAAAAGAUAUCUCCUAAAUCAUGUUCCACUAGUUAUUCCUAACUAGCUUCCAACUACCAUCAAGUGGCUAUUUAUUUGCACCAUUAUAAUCGCACCAAAAUGAAUAAACUACCUCAACUACACAACACUCAUAAAUCUAACUAUUAAUCAUUCUCAACUACUAAAAUAUCAACUCAAUUUCAAUGCUCACCUUGCUAGAUUUGCAAUUGAAUAUCUCCUCAAGAAUUCCUAAACUAUUAUAGAAGGUCUUUUUUUCUCUCUCUAAAACCCUAGUUAGUGAAAGAAAGUAUUGAUCUAAAACAUUUCAGGGGUUUUAAGGUGAAAGAGUGAAAGAGCAUAAGAGGUUCUAUAAAAAAAAUGCACAAAAGCAUGAAAAUGAAGGCUAACUUGAGAGAGUUAUGGAAGCUUGAAGAGCACUCCCAUGAAAGGUGACGAAAUAUGGGAUGGGAGGAAGAAGAAGAAGAUGAAGUGUUGGAAAUCUGAGAAAAGUGCUGGAGAAUGAAGAUAUUUAUAGUUAAAACUUAUCUAAUUGUUCAAAAAAUUACAAUAAUGCCUUUAGCAAUGCCAUUUGUCUUCCUCUUAUUCUUAUGAAAUCUUUUACUCUUUUGACACUAGGAAAAUGUCCAAAAUCCUUUGAAAGAGGUCCCUUAAGUAGCCCCCAAAAGUCCUAGCUUCAAAAACCCUAAAAUCUUAUUAUUUGUAGAAUUUACGAUGAGGGGUCGUGGCUCUCAAUUUCCAACAUCGCGGCACUCAAACAUUUUGCCAAUUUCGAUCUUCUAACACAGUUCUUUCACUUCGACAAAGAUUUUGACCACCUUCCCAUCAAAACUGGGCAAAGUGGCAAACACCAAAGGUGUAGCCAUGCCUCUUAGCUUUCUAAUGGUCUAAAAAUCAUGUUAUUUGAACUUCUACAGUGGGAGAUAUACUUGAAAAACUAAAAUAUAUGCAAAUAGGGCUACUGUUCAUUAUGCACCUUUCUUCACCAAUUAAAAUUAUUUUUGAUCCUACUUCUAUAACGAUAUAAAAUAAUUAUAAGUAACAUAAAACUAGCAUCAUUAGCUCAAAUUAAACCUUUAAACAUAAGUUUCACCUCGAGUUACGCGUCUAUGAAGGUCAAGGUUUCACACUUACCUCAAUGCUUAAAUUUAUAAACUCCAAGUGAAUCACAAUCAUCACUAUUCAUUCCAAUCAAAGUGCGCCCCUUGUACCAUUACUGUAUAUGUUUCUUUAUAUUGAUUGCAAUAAGGAUCCAAUAUCAUCCAAUUUCUUCUCACUGACAACUAUAGGCUCAAGUUAUAACUCCACUGAAUGAAUAAGUCAUUACGGACCUAUUAGUCCAACUCCAAUUUCCUCCAUCUUUAAUCGAAGGGAUUUUGUCAAACCCUGUUCUAUAAAAUAAUUACGACGUUAUUUACAUGCUCAAUAGAAUGUUUGCAUAUUUAGGAAGUUCGAGAAAUAAUUAAAAGACGAUAUUGCCCUUAAUGGUACCAUUAAGUCGAUUAAGCCUCGAACUAGUUCAAAUAGGAAUUUUAUGGUGAAAUUAAGAGUUUCACAAUCCAGGUAUAACUCAAAAUGGUAAUUCGGAGUUCGAGGAUCAAUUUGGAGUCAAACCGAAAUUUUCAUUAUCUAGGGGUAAAAUGGUAAUUUUACCACCUGAGGAUGAAAUUGGAAUAUUGGAAGAAGUUUUUGAUCAAGAUUGAUCACAUUUGACUCAUUGGAGUAUAAUUUGAGGUUGAUAAGUGAAAAAGUUAUAAUUUUGGUAUUUUUUGAGUAUAGGGGCAAAACAGUAAUUUUACCAUCUCGGGGGCAAAUCAGUAAAUUUUCACCCCCGACACUUGUCAAGACCAAGGAAUUUUAUUCAUCAUGUAAAUGGAUAAACAUGAGAAAUAUGUGGUGGAGAAUUAAAGAAUUAAAAGUCAAAUAUUUAAAAUUUGAACCAGUAAGGGAAAUGCCAUGUGUCAUGCUUUUAUUAUUUUAUUGUUUCUCUAUAAAAAGGCAUAAAAAUCAGCGCAUUUCUCCCAUAGUGGUCGGCCAAACCAGAAAAGAAGAGAAACCAAAGAAGAACAAACCCUAGGUGGGAAAAAUCAAAGAGAAAGUGUUGGAAUUCAAGGAUUUGAUCAAGCAAAGGUAAAAUUUCUUUGAUUUUGCUAGUGAUUUACCGUACGCAUGCAUUUCUCCUUAAUUUCCAUGGUUGGAUUGUAUGUUUUCAUGGGGAAAUCAUGGCUGGGCGAAUGGGUUUGGUGAGAGAAAUGAUGUUGGAAUUGUUUGAUUUUGAGUUAUGUUGGUGUUUAGAGCUAGUUAAGCAUGUUUAGAAACAAAACAACAAGAAAAGAAUCCAUUUUCCCCAUGAACCUACAAUGGCCGAACCCUAUGUGAAGUGUAGAAGUAAUGAAUUGAUUUUGUGAUCAAGUGAAUUGGUUGAGAAAUUGAUGAAAUGAUGAUUUAUGUUAAGAAUAUGGAAUGGAAAAAUUUUUAGUGAUAGUGCAUCACAAUGGUCGAAAUUUUCAAGAAGAAUUGUGAGGAUUGUUAGGCUGAAUUUUAGAUUAUUGGAAUUGUAUUUAGUGAAUUGAAAUAUUAGAAAUGAAAUGGUGCAAUUUGGAGCCAAAUCGGAUACAAUUAUCAUUUAAUCAGGUAAUAGGCCAAAUUAGGUCAGCACUGCAUUUAAGCGGUAGUUGGAUAAGUUGCAUAUCAUAUCAUGCAUAUACACCGAGCCUGAAUUGAUUUUAUAAUGGUCAAGAAUUAAUGUGGUGAAUUAUGUAUUGUACAUCGUGGAUAGGUGGUGAGCAAAUUACACUAGUAAAAGUACAAAUAUUGUACUUGAAGACUGAGAUUAGGAGUAUAUCGACUCCUAGAACUGUGAGUAAACUUAUUAUCGUCUUAAUUAUCUAGAGUAGUUUUAUACAAUUGAGUGAUUUUAUAGAAAAUGGGUUUAAAUGGUAAAUUGCUAUGUUUUAGGAGAAAUUGUGAUUUAUAAAAUGAUUUUAUAAAUUUUCUGAAAAAUUGAAUACUGGUUUUGAAAAUAGAUUAAUUGGAGACUGUCUGCUUGUGUUAUAAAUUGUGUUUUAAAUUAUAUGGCUUAUAGCAAUAUGUGUGCAUGAAUGGCAAAGUCGGUAUUUGUAUCAAAAUUAUAUAUACUAUGUAUUCAGCCUUGAGAGGCUAGAUUGCGAUAAAUUUCCAUGUCAUACAGAUAAAUAUUUUAUAAAUCAGGUGGUAGAUAAAAUAAUCCAUAAUCCCUACAGUGGAGGUUCUAUGGACCAGCCUAAGAGAGAGGGCAUAGAAUCAAAUAUACCUGACCUCGAUCGGAGAGCCGUGUGGAGGGUUUCUCUAGAGGUAAAGAUUUGAGUGCACUUCACAUGGACCACCACGUGAGAGUGAGACUCAGCCAACGCCAAGGCAUGGCUAGAAUUUUGGAUGUAAAGAUAUUUAACAGCUUUGGUGGUCUCGAUCAGAUGCCUAGGCCAAGGCAUCCCCAAGAAUGAUUUUGACAGAAGCCAAGUUUUGUGAGAUAUAUAAGCCAUGUUGAUUAAUUGAGUAAACUGAAUAUUCAUGUUAUGAAACAUAUAUUGGAAAAGGAUAUUUUAAUUCGUCUCCAUUCACUCCCCUUUAGAUAGUUUAGAUGGUGUUUGUUUACUCACUGGGAUUUUGUAAUCUCACCCUUCUUCCUAUCCAUUUUUCAGGCUCAGGAUAGUUUGUUGAUAGUUGAUUAAGACAAGAAUUACUCUCGGAAUUGCAUCCUAGAAAAGUAAGGGUUCGUAGCCCUACACCUUCUUUGUCAGUUGGGGGCCCACGUGUCACUGUAAAAGUAAUUUUAUACUUCAGUUAUCUGAUUUAAAGUAUGUAUGAACAUAUUUAGCUUUUACACCAUGUUUUUGGCGGGUUUUCGUAUUUUCAAAGAAAAAUGACAAAAAUGCCCCUAUGAGCUGAAAAAUAAUAUUUUAUUAUUUUGAUUUGGAAACGACUUAUGAUUUCUUGAAAUGUGAGAUUUAAUAACUGUCACUCACCGGGGAGAUGCGGAAGCUGAUGCUAAGCCUUGCGGGGUUCCGAUCUGCAUUUCGAGUAAUGAGUGCCUAUAGGGAUGUCGCGACAGUUGUCACGAGGCCAAUGGGGAGUUUCGGAUCGUGACAGAUUUAUUAUUAUAUUAACCUUUCAUUAGGAGCAUUUGCUUAAAAUCUUUCCAACGAUAGCUCGUGUCUCGGGUGGCAUCUCAAACCUGGACAACGGUACCACUUAUGACCUUUGCAUAAUGUUAGCAAGAUGGUAGGUUACUAGAAAUAGGAGUUUAUAUAGCCUCUUGUUUAUGAAUUGUGUUGCAGUCACAAACCAUAAACAAGACUCUACAUUAACUCCGAAAACUCCGUUGACUGACACGAGAAUUCUUAGGACUCGACUAAACCUAGAGCUCUGAUACCACCUUUGUCACAGGUCAAAUCCCGAGCCAUGACCGGCGCAUGAGCCCAAUAGGCAUAACCUACUAAGCCCAAGCAAGCUUUUUUUUUUUUAUGCAAUCCUAAUCAUCAUUCUCAACCUUCAUUUCUAAAGCCACAUAUUACAAUUCUCAAUUAUAAACAUUUUAGUAACAUUUUAUAGCAAUCCAAUAUUCACAUUUGUAUUAUGCUAACAUAGUAUCACUCAUUUGCCACCUUAUAGUGGCAUCAAUAAUCAAAUAUACAUAUUUGAUUUUUAACAUGAAUCUUAGUGGUCUUUAUUACUUAUACAUGUAAAUAAGCAUAAGACUCUUGACCGUCAGCGGAGUGACCGUGGGUAAAGGUACAGCUACUGAGAUGCCAUAGUACCUACCAAGAAGGCGAGUAUAUGUGUGCAACUCAAUCUAAGUCCCAACUUGCCUUCG
rnacentral:lncRNA from 1 species